CAGCCGCCGCGGUAACACGGAGGGUGCAAGCGUUAUCCGGAUUUAUUGGGUUUAAAGGGUCCGUAGGCGGACUUAUAAGUCAGUGGUGAAAGCCUGUCGCUUAACGAUAGAACUGCCAUUGAUACUGUAAGUCUUGAGUAUAUUUGAGGUAGCUGGAAUAAGUAGUGUAGCGGUGAAAUGCAUAGAUAUUACUUAGAACACCAAUUGCGAAGGCAGGUUACCAAGAUAUAACUGACGCUGAGGGACGAAAGCGUGGGUAGCGAACAGGAUUAGAUACCCCCGUAGUCCCUGUCUCUUAUAC
rnacentral:rRNA from 1 species